UACGGGGGGAGCAAGCGUUGUUCGGAUUUACUGGGCGUAAAGGGCGCGUAGGCGGUCGUGACAAGUCACUUGUGAAAUCUCCGGGCUUAACUCGGAACGGUCAAGUGAUACUGUCGGACUAGAGUACAGAAGGGGCAACUGGAAUUCUCGGUGUAGCGGUGAAAUGCGUAGAUAUCGAGAGGAACACCUGCGGCGAAGGCGGGUUGCUGGGCUGAUACUGACACUGAGGAGCGAAAGCCAGGGGAGCAAACGGG
rnacentral:rRNA from 1 species